GUUCUGUAACUUUAGGAGAAGGACUGGUUCUGAAGGUUGAUCCAGUCAGGUUGACAGUAAAAGUAUUUAUGACAUUGUGUUCUCGCCGGAUACAUCUCGCGUCUGUCCGGAUGAUUAUCGAAGUUGUGUUUAUGGACAUUGUUAGCUGCUUCGGUUUAUUCUGAUAUGACUGGAAAUUUUCAACUACUUCAGAAUUGGCACGAACUGAGGGAAUCCGACUGUCUAAUUAAAACAAAUCAUUGUGAAGUCAGGUGAUCGGUUCUUUGAAGCGCGGGUAAACGGCGGGAGUAACUAUGACUCUCUUACUUCUGUACUUACUUUCUGUACCCCUCCAAAAGCAACUUGUUCGCAGCAGGCGGUACGGCAAGGUGCAAGGUAUUCCAGUAGUCAGCUCUGAAGACUGGCCGCCCUACCUUGGCCCAUGCAAGGGCUACGGCUACU
rnacentral:ncRNA from 1 species